rnacentral:rRNA from 1 species
CAGCCGCCGCGGUAAUACGUAGGUGGCAAGCGUUGUCCGGAAUUAUUGGGCGUAAAGGGCCCGCAGGCGGUUUCUUAAGUCUGAUGUGAAAGCCCCCGGCUCAACCGGGGAGGGUCAUUGGAAACUGGGAAACUUGAGUGCAGAAGAGGAGAGUGGAACUCCACGUGUAGCGGUGAAAUGCGUAGAGAUCGGAAAGAACACCAACGGCGAAAGCACUCUGCUGGGCCGACACUGACACUGAGAGACGAAAGCUAGGGGAGCAAAUGGGAUUAGAUACCCCAGUAGUCCCUGUCUCUUAUAC